GGUUAAAAAGCUCGUAGUUGGAUUUCUGUUGAGGAUGACCGGUCCGCUCUUUGAGCGCGUAUCUGGUUCAGCCUUGGCAUCCUCUUGGGGAACGCUACUGUGCUUGAUUGCAUGGGGCGGUAUUCAAGACUUUUACUUUGAGGAAAUUAGAGUGUUCACUGCAAGCGUUAGCAAUUGAAUACAUUAGCAUGGAAUAAUAAUAUAGGACCUUGGUACUAUUUUGUUGGUUUCUAGAACUAAGGUAAUGAUUAAUAGGGACAAUUGGGGGCAUUCGUAUUAACGCGUCAGAGGUGGAAUUCUUAGAUUGCGUUACGACGAACUACUGCGAAAGCAUUUGCCAAGGAUGUUUUCAUUGAUCAAGAACGAAAGUAUGGGGAUCGAAGACGCU
rnacentral:rRNA from 1 species